rnacentral:rRNA from 1 species
GUAAGGAAUAUUGGUCAAUGGACGGAAGUCUGAACCAGCCAUGCCGCGUGGAGGAUGAAGGUCCUCUGGAUUGUAAACUUCUUUUAUAGGGGGCGAAAAAAGGGAAUUCUUUCUCGUCUGACGGUACCCUAUGAAUAAGCACCGGCUAACUCCGUGCCAGCAGCCGCGGUAAUACGGAGGGUGCAAGCGUUAUCCGGAUUCACUGGGUUUAAAGGGAGCGUAGGCGGGCAUGUAAGUCAGUGGUGAAAGCCCUCAGCUUAACUGAGGAACUGCCAUUGAUACUAUAUGUCUUGAAUGUCGUUGAGUUUUGCGGAAUAGGUCAUGUAGCGGUGAAAUGCUUAGAUAUGACCUAGAACACCUAUUGCGAAGGCAGCAGGCUAAACGAAUAUUGACGCUGAGGCUCGAAAGCGUGGGGAUCAAACAGGAUUAGAAACCCGAGUAGUCC